ACAUCCUCCCCCUCCGCUCCCCGUCCAGGAUCUCAAUCGCGCAUUGAUGGCGUCCUCGCUGCCCCCCUCGCAGCCCUUGCCCCGUCCGAGGUUGGCGCUGCCAUCCCACUCCAAUCCUACUAGCUGUCGUUGUUGUUGACGAGGGACGUAGUCGCCACUAGAUCCGGAAGAGAGCAACCAUGGGGAGGACGACCCGAAGCAGCGGCGUUGUAUCCAUGGAGAUGAGGACGACAUUGCCUCCAAGUCUGCUCUACCGGCUUCCAUCGACGGUGCAAGAUCCAGCAGAUAGAUUGAUGGCGAAGAGGAUGACUCCAUGUACAAGCGCACUCCCCCGCCUUGCAUCGACAUUGCUAGAGUUGCGAUUCCUGAGGCCAUGGAGCAGCAGACAAUAUCUAUUGCCAAAGCUGCCAUUACAAUAAUACUCAUUUUAGGGACUUCAUUUCUUGCAGCUGCCAAUCCAAUUGCAAGAUGCUAUGACGCUCUUAAGUGACCAUGAACUUGUACGUUGAAAUCCCGACGGGCCUCAGGAGGCCAGGAGGUGGAGAGGAGUUGAGCAAAUCAGUUCUCAUAUUCUAUAAGCAUUUAUCUCGAGUCAGCAAUUAGGAACUGUGAUGGUUUUUAGGUCACCGGGAAGGUUGUUGAGAAGAUCUUGGACUGGGAGAGAAGUGCACAGAAGCAAGUUAAAAUCAUGUUGAAGCCCGCUCAUGUCAUCCUGUAACGUCUAUUCAAUUUUUUCUUAUUCCAUUUUGUGACGUUAUGACUAAGCAUGCCAACUGGCAUCCUUAGCCCACUUCUUAUCGAGCUUGGGUGCAUACCACAUGUAUUUAGGUUGCCUUGAUUUCAUGUUAUUUUUUUCAUAUUUUGCAGUUCAUUUUCCAAUGCUAUCGAGCAGAAUUGUAUCGUUUCAAACAUCUGUCAUCUUGAUGCUAAUGUAAUCACGAAGCAUUUGGCUA